UACGUAGGGUGCAAGCGUUGUCCGGAAUUAUUGGGCGUAAAGAGCUCGUAGGCGGUCUGUCACGUCGGCUGUGAAAUCCCGAGGCUCAACCUCGGGUCUGCAGUCGAUACGGGCAAACUAGAGUAUUGCAGGGGAGACUGGAAUUCCUGGUGUAGCGGUGAAAUGCGCAGAUAUCAGGGAGAACGCCGGUGGCGGAAGCGGGCUCUGGGCAAUAACUGACGUGGAGGAAGCGAAAGCGUGGG
rnacentral:rRNA from 1 species